CUACGGGAGGCUCCAGUGAGGAAUAUUGGUCAAUGGGCGGAAGCCUGAACCAGCCAUCCCGCGUGCAGGAUGACAGCCCUAGAGGUUGUAAACUGCUUUUGUAUAGGAAGAAUAAGGAUUACGUGUAAUCCGAUGACUGUACUAUACGAAUAAGCACCGGCUAACUCCGUGCCAGCAGCCGCGGUAAUACGGAGGGUGCAAGCGUUAUCCGGAUUUAUUAGGUUUAAAGGGUGCGUAGGCGGAAGCUUAAGUCAGUGGUAAAAGGCAUUAGCUUAACUAAUGUAAGCCAUUGAAACUGGGUUUCUUGAGUUCGGUUGAGGUAGGCGGAAUGUGUUGUGUAGCGGUGAAAUGCAUAGAUAUAACACAGAACACCGAUUGCGAAGGCAGCUUACUAAGCCGUUACUGACGCUGAUGCACGAAAGCGUGGGUAUCAAACAGGAUUAGAUACCCUGGUAGUC
rnacentral:rRNA from 1 species